rnacentral:rRNA from 1 species
GACGAACGCUGGCGGCGUGCUUAACACAUGCAAGUCGAACGGAAAGGCCCUGCUUUUGUGGGGUGCUCGAGUGGCGAACGGGUGAGUAACACGUGAGUAACCUGCCCUUGACUUUGGGAUAACUUCAGGAAACUGGGGCUAAUACCGGAUAGGAGCUCCUGCUGCAUGGUGGGGGUUGGAAAGUUUCGGCGGUUGGGGAUGGACUCGCGGCUUAUCAGCUUGUUGGUGGGGUAGUGGCUUACCAAGGCUUUGACGGGUAGCCGGCCUGAGAGGGUGACCGGCCACAAUGGGACUGAGGUACGGGCCAGAAUCCUAAGGGAGGCAGCAGUGGGGAAUAUUGCACAAUGGGCGGAAGCCUGAUGCAGCAACGCCGCGUGCGGGAUGACGGCCUUCGGGUUGUAAACCGCUUUCGCCUGUGACGAAGCGUGAGUGACGGUAAUGGGUAAAGAAGCACCGGCUAACUACGUG